rnacentral:rRNA from 1 species
GUGUACCCGCGGCAAGACGGAAAGACCCCGUGAACCUUUACUAUAGCUUGACACUGAACAUUGAGCCUUGAUGUGUAGGAUAGGUGGGAGGCUUUGAAGCGUGGACGCCAGUCUGCGUGGAGCCGACCUUGAAAUACCACCCUUUAAUGUUUGAUGUUCUAACGUGGACCCGUAAUCCGGGUUGCGGACAGUGUCUGGUGGGUAGUUUGACUGGGGCGGUCUCCUCCUAAAGAGUAACGGAGGAGCACGAAGGUUGGCUAAUCCUGGUCGGACAUCAGGAGGUUAGUGCAAUGGCAUAAGCCAGCUUGACUGCGAGCGUGACGGCGCGAGCAGGUGCGAAAGCAGGUCAUAGUGAUCCGGUGGUUCUGAAUGGAAGGGCCAUCGCUCAACGGAUAAAAGGUACUCCGGGGAUAACAGGCUGAUACCGCCCAAGAGUUCAUAUCGACGGCGGUGUUUGGCACCUCGAUGUCGGCUCAUCACAUCCUGGGGCUGAAGUAGGUCCCAAGGGUAUGGCUGUUCGCCAUUUAAAGUGGUACGCGAGCUGGGUUUAGAACGUCGUGAGACAGUUCGGUCCCUAUCUGCCGUGGGCGCUGGAGAACUGAGGGGGGCUGCUCCUAGUACGAGAGGACCGGAGUGGACGCAUCACUGGUGUUCGGGUUGUCAUGCCAAUGGCACUGCCCGGUAGCUAAAUGCGGAAGAGAUAAGUGCUGAAAGCAUCUAAGCACGAAACUUGCCCCGAGAUGAGUUCUCCCUGAGACUUAGAGUCUCCUGAAGGAACGUUGAAGACGACGACGUUGAUAGGCCGGGUGUGUAAGCGCAGCGAUGCGUUGAGCUAACCGGUACUAAUGAACCGUGAGGCUUAACCUUACAACGCCGAAG